rnacentral:lncRNA from 1 species
UAAAACGAUGCAGGCCAAUUGGCAUCAGUACAUGGAAUGUACGAGUAUGCGAGCUGGAAAAGCUAAACCACAACUUAAGCUUGAAAGGAGAACAAGAGAUCACUUACCUUGACUCUGAACGACUCAUAUAAAUAACUGGGCUCAAAGUAAAGCAAUAAGACACAUACAAUGCAUAUAAAGCUUGUAAAAAUAAUGUAAACCACUUAGUUCGUUAAGGAUAAAACGAUAACAAGCUCAACUUUACUUAUAUAAAAGUAAUAUAACUUUUGUACGAGGCUCUUUAACCGACAACCACCACUAUGAGCCCUAGUGAUGAUACAACGUCUUACCUCACGUUGCCCGAGGACCAUCCUAUACCUUGCCGUGAUAUAGGACCUUACUUUUGCUUAGUGGAUCCACUAGCCUAAUCUUACGUGAUCAUCUAAAAAGAAUGAUACGUCAAGUCCCAUGAUGGCGCAUGGUUCUUAUGGAGAGUUGAGUAAAUGUAAACUCGUGUCCCCAAUUCGGUGCUCAAUACUAC